rnacentral:rRNA from 1 species
ACUUAAAUUGAAGAGUUUGAUCAUGGCUCAGAUUGAACGCUGGCGGCAGGCCUAACACAUGCAAGUCGAGCGGUAGCACAGAGAGCUUGCUCUCGGGUGACGAGCGGCGGACGGGUGAGUAAUGUCUGGGAAACUGCCUGAUGGAGGGGGAUAACUACUGGAAACGGUAGCUAAUACCGCAUAACGUCGCAAGACCAAAGUGGGGG